AUUGAACUCUGGCGGCAGGCUUAACACAUGCAAGUCGCACGAGUGGCGGACGGGUGAAUAAUGCGUAGGAAACUAGCUGAUGGAGGGGGAUAUCUACUGGAACCGGUAGCUAAUACCGCCUACCCUCCGAUGAGCCCAAAUGGGAUUAGGUAGUUGGUGAGGUAAAGGCUCACCAAGCCGACGAUCCCUAGCUGGUCUGCGAGGAUGACCAGCCACACUGGGACUGAGACACGGCCCAGACGCCGACGGGAGGCAGCAGUGGGGAAUAGUGCACAAUGGGGGCAAGAAUGAAGCAGGCAUGCAGAGUGAGUGAAGAAGGCCUGCGGGUUGUAAAGUGCUGUCGGGGUGGAGGCGUUACCCGCAGAAGAAGCACCGGCUAACUCCGUGCCAGCAGCCGCGGUAAUAC
rnacentral:rRNA from 1 species